UGUAAGUAGCUGGAUGUACCGGAGGAAUAAGGAUCGGCUAACUCCGUGCCAGCAGCCGCGGUAAUACGGAGGAUCCAAGCGUUAUCCGGAUUUAUUGGGUUUAAAGGGUGCGUAGGCGGCCUGUUAAGUCAGGGGUGAAAGACGGUAGCUCAACUAUCGCAGUGCCCUUGAUACUGAUGGGCUUGAAUACACUAGAGGUAGGCGGAAUGUGACAAGUAGCGGUGAAAUGCAUAGAUAUGUCACAGAACACCGAUUGCGAAGGCAGCUUACUAUGGUGUCAUUGACGCUGAGGCACGAAAGCGUGGGGAUCAAACAGGAUUAGAUACCCUGGUAGUCCACGCCCUAAACGAUGAAUACUCGCUGUUAGCGAUAUACAGUUAGCGGCUAAGCGAAAGCGUUAAGUAUUCCACCUGGGGAGUACGCUCGCAAGAGUGAAACUCAAAGGAAUUGACGG
rnacentral:rRNA from 1 species